AUCCAGCUGAUGAGUCCCGAAUAGGACGAAGCGUGUGUACCGGAU
rnacentral:hammerhead_ribozyme from 1 species